AUUGAACGCUGGCGGCAUGCCUUACACAUGCAAGUCGAACGGCAGCACGGGUGCUUGCACCUGGUGGCGAGUGGCGAACGGGUGAGUAAUACAUCGGAACAUGUCCUGUAGUGGGGGAUAGCCCGGCGAAAGCCGGAUUAAUACCGCAUACGAUCUACGGAUGAAAGCGGGGGACCUUCGGGCCUCGCGCUGUAGGGUUGGCCGAUGGCUGAUUAGCUAGUUGGUGGGGUAAAGGCCUACCAAGGCGACGAUCAGUAGCUGGUGGGAGAGGACGACCAGCCACACUGGAGCGUAGCCACGGCCCAGGCUCCUACGGGAGGCAGCAGUGGGGAAUUUUGGACAAUGGGCGAAAGCCUGAUCCAGCAAGGCCGCGUGUGUGAAGAAGGCCUUCGGGUUGUAAAGCACUUUUGUCCGUAAAGAAAUCCUUGGCCCUAAUACGGUCGGGGGAUGACGGUACCGGAAGAAUAAGCACCGGCUAACUACGUG
rnacentral:rRNA from 1 species